UGAAACCAACAAUUGUAGAGAGGAAGUCAAAUGCAUAACUUCUACUUCUUGUACUUGUGGAAUCAGUUAAAGCUUGAGGGUUCAAUUUUGUUCUUGACCUCAAAUAGCUUAAAAGUACAUUAAAUUGUGAAUUUUCUAUGAACCAUUCAAAAAGACUUGGUGAUAUUUUGUGAUAAAAAUAUUAUAAAAUCAGACAUGAAGCUUGAUCAAAUAAAUGUAUUCAUGGAAGAGGCUCAGAGUUACUUAAGAGAUAUUAACUUGAUGAUAUUUUACAUUUAAUAAUUUAAGAAUAAAAUCACACAUUUAUGGGAAGAAACAUUAUCUUCCUUCCAAAGCUAAAAGGCUCCCAUCCAUCCAUCCAUUCAUUCAAACAUUCAUUCAGAAUUUAUUUAUCAUAGGCCUAUUAUAUGCCAGAAAGUCUUUUAGGAAUUGGGAAUAUAGAAAUAAGCAUAACAAACUCCUAUCUUUAUAUUUGAAGAUAUGUUACUUUUUAAUAAAGAGAGACAGAUAAUAUAAACUUAAAAAAUAUAGAAUAUGUCAGGUGAUGAUAAAUGCUAUGAAGGAAAACAAAGUAAGGAAGACAAAGAGUGAAAGGUAUUGGUAUUUUCUACAGAGUGGUCAGAAAAGGCCUCUCCAGGAAAAUAACAUUUGAGCAGAGGCUUUGAAAGGAGUGAGGGAAGAGUUAUGCAGAUAUCUGGGGGAAGACUGUUCCAGAGUGGUUGAGUCAGAGUGAGAGAAUGACAGUGGCAGGAGCUGAGGUUAGUGAGGCAGUGGGGGGUUAGCAAGUUGAAGGCAGAUAAUAUGGGGCUCUGUGGGCCAUCAUGAGGACUUCAGCUUUUACCUCGGCAUGAGAUGGGAAACCACUGGAGAAUCUAGAGGAGAAAGGGAUGAUCUGCCCUUCAACAGGAUCAUCCAGGCUACUCCGGUGAAUAUAGACCAUAUGAGGGCAAAGAUUGGAAGCUAGGUGAGCAGUUAGAAGGCUACUGCAAUAGCUAUGUGAGAGAGAUGAACUAGGAGAGUAGCAGUGGAGAUCUGAGAUACGGCAAAGUCUAGAUAUAACACAAAGGAAUAGCCGACAGAAUUUGCUUUUGGAUUGGCUGUAUUGUAGGAGAGAAAAAAUAGGGUGCAUUUUUGGGUUGAGCAAAGAGAAGAAUGAAGAUUCCUUGUACUGAGAUGGGGAAAACUGCAGGAGGAGUGGGUCUGAAAGAGGCAAGUUGGUUGCCAUGUUGUGAGCAGCCCCCUUGAAAGGCCCAUGUGAUGAUGAAUUGAAACCUCCUGUCAACAGCCAUGUGAGUGACCUAGGAAGCAGAUCCUGCAGCCCAGUCAUGCUUCAGAUGAGGCAUAUCUGAGGCACAGAGAGGUUAAGUUGGGGACUGAAGUGUGGCUCCAGAAUCUAAGUUUCUAACUGCCAUGCUAUGACUGACCCCACUGGACUCAUGACUCAUGGACUCAGCUGGUCCUGUGGCCCUACCCAGAAGUGGACUCAGCACACGAGGACCAUUUCCCACACUCCUGUGAUUUCAUCCCCAAUUAUUCAGCAGUACCCUUUCCAUAGCCCCUUGCCCACCAAGUUGUCCAUAAAAACCCUAGCCUCUGAGCUUUUGGGGAGAUGGAGUUGAGUAAUAACUCCAUCUACUGCAUGGCUGGCCUUGUGUCAAUUAAACUUUUUUCUUUACUGCAAUAACAUGGUCUCAGUGAACUGAUUUUGUUCAUGCAGGAGGCAGGAAAAGCCCCUUGGGUGAUUACACAGUGGUUCUCAAAGUAUGGACCUCCAACCAGCAGCAUCAGCAGCAUCUGGAUACUUGCUAGAAAUGGAAAUUCUCUGGCCCUAUUCCAGGCCUUCCAAGUUGGAAACUUUGUGAUGGGGCCCAGCACUCUGUGUUUUAACAAGCCCUCUAGCCUUAAGGAAAACAACUCUGAGGACUUUUGUCACGGACUUGAAAUUCUCAUCUGUGCUUGGACAAGACUCUGAAACAUACCAACUGUGUAUUUUCCUGCCUUUGGUAAAUCUGGAGCUAUUAACUGAUUCUAAAGAACAUUUGACUUAAAAAGACUAUGGAAAGCCCAAAGAAUAAAGUAGAUAAUGAAGACCCCAGUGGAUUAUUAUUAGCAAAUGAAAACUGGAUAUCAAGAAGGGCAAAAUCUUCAACCUUAUCAGCAGAAAGAGUUUAUGUAAAAAUAUACCACAUAGAAUAACUAAAAAAAUAAGCAAGUGAUACCUUAUCUGAGCUCAAAAUAUCUGUUUCUUUGCAAAUGGAUAAAGGAUUUAUUAUAUUAUAGCACCUUGAGGACAGAGACUUUAUGUUUCUAACUACCCAUCCCAGCAUCAUCUAGUUCAUUCCUAUGCUGAACAGCCCCUAACACAUUGCCUAAAUAAAUACUAACAUUAUAUGUGUGCAAUGAAGUAUUCUUUUGCUAAAAGCAAAACUUUCAUAUGGUCUUACAAUAAGCCACUUGUAAGACUAGUUUUAAAUAAUUACUGAUACAAAUGCUGCCACUGCCCCCAAAGAAACCUGAAUAAAAUUAUGUUAGGCUGCACUAAUUUCAGUGUCAAGCUAUUUAACUCUGCUGAUAGUCAUUUUUUUAAAGAUCUUUUGAUCUUUAAAUUGAGAGAGUUGAACUAAAUAAUCUUUUAGAUAUCUUCUAGUUUAAUAUUCUAAGAUUCUAGUAAAUAUAUUGUGUUUGGUCAGGUGUGGUGGCUCAUGCCUGUAAUCCCAACAUUUUCAGAGGCUG
rnacentral:lncRNA from 1 species